rnacentral:rRNA from 10 species
GUCCUAAGCUGAGGCCGACAGGCGUAGGCGAUGGAUAACAGGUUGAUAUUCCUGUACCACCUAUAAUCGUUUUAAUCGAUGGGGGGACGCAGUAGGAUAGGCGAAGCGUGCGAUUGGAUUGCACGUCUAAGCAGUAAGGCUGAGUAUUAGGCAAAUCCGGUACUCGUUAAGGCUGAGCUGUGAUGGGGAGAAGACAUUGUGUCUUCGAGUCGUUGAUUUCACACUGCCGAGAAAAGCCUCUAGAUAGAAAAUAGGUGCCCGUACCGCAAACCGACACAGGUAGUCAAGAUGAGAAUUCUAAGGUGAGCGAGCGAACUCUCGUUAAGGAACUCGGCAAAAUGACCCCGUAACUUCGGGAGAAGGGGUGCUCUUUAGGGUUAACGCCCAGAAGAGCCGCAGUGAAUAGGCCCAAGCGACUGUUUAUCAAAAACACAGGUCUCUGCUAAACCGUAAGGUGAUGUAUAGGGGCUGACGCCUGCCCGGUGCUGGAAGGUUAAGAGGAGUGGUUAGCUUCUGCGAAGCUACGAAUCGAAGCCCCAGUAAACGGCGGCCGUAACUAUAACGGUCCUAAGGUAGCGAAAUUCCUUGUCGGGUAAGUUCCGACCCGCACGAAAGGCGUAACGAUUUGGGCACUGUCUCAACGAGAGACUCGGUGAAAUCAUAGUACCUGUGAAGAUGCAGGUUACCCGCGACAGGACGGAAAGACCCCGUGGAGCUUUACUGUAGCCUGAUAUUGAAAUUCGGCACAGCUUGUACAGGAUAGGUAGGAGCCUUUGAAACGUGAGCGCUAGCUUACGUGGAGGCGCUGGUGGGAUACUACCCUAGCUGUGUUGGCUUUCUAACCCGCACCACUUAUCGUGGUGGGAGACAGUGUCAGGCGGGCAGUUUGACUGGGGCGGUCGCCUCCUAAAAGGUAACGGAGGCGCUCAAAGGUUCCCUCAGAAUGGUUGGAAAUCAUUCAUAGAGUGUAAAGGCAUAAGGGAGCUUGACUGCGAGACCUACAAGUCGAGCAGGGUCGAAAGACGGACUUAGUGAUCCGGUGGUUCCGCAUGGAAGGGCCAUCGCUCAACGGAUAAAAGCUACCCCGGGGAUAACAGGCUUAUCUCCCCCAAGAGUUCACAUCGACGGGGAGGUUUGGCACCUCGAUGUCGGCUCAUCGCAUCCUGGGGCUGUAGUCGGUCCCAAGGGUUGGGCUGUUCGCCCAUUAAAGCGGUACGCGAGCUGGGUUCAGAACGUCGUGAGACAGUUCGGUCCCUAUCCGUCGUGGGCGUAGGAAAUUUGAGAGGAGCUGUCCUUAGUACGAGAGGACCGGGAUGGACAUACCUCUGGUGUACCAGUUGUCGUGCCAACGGCAUAGCUGGGUAGCUAUGUGUGGACGGGAUAAGUGCUGAAAGCAUCUAAGCAUGAAGCCCCCCUCAAGAUGAGAUUUCCCAACUUCGGUUAUAAGAUCCCUCAAAGAUGAUGAGGUUAAUAGGUUCGAGGUGGAAGCAUGGUGACAUGUGGAGCUGACGAAUACUAAUCGAUCGAAGACUUAAUCAA